GAAGUACUCCCUCCAUCCCGAAUUACGUGUCCUAGAUUUGUCUAGUUACGGAUCUAUCUAGACACGUUUUAGUGUUCGAUACAUCCGUAUCUAGAAAAAUCUAAGACAAGCCUUUUGGGACAGAGGUAAUACUAC
rnacentral:pre_miRNA from 1 species